GAUGAAGAACGCAGCGAAAUGCGAUAAGUAAUGUGAAUUGCAGAAUUCAGUGAAUCAUCGAAUCUUUGAACGCACAUUGCGCCCGCCAGUAUUCUGGCGGGCAUGCCUGUCUGAGCGUCAUUUCGACCCUCAUGCCCCUAGGGCGUGGUGUUGGGGAUCGGCCAAAGCCCGCGAGGGACGGCCGGCCCCUAAAUCUAGUGGCGGACCCGUCGUGGCCUCCUCUGCGAAGUAGUGAUAUUCCGCAUCGGAGAGCGAUGAGCCCCUGCCGUUAAACCCCCAACUUUCCAAGGUUGACCUCAGAUCAGGUAGGAAUACCCGCUGAACUUAAGCAUAUCAAUAAGCGGAGGA
rnacentral:misc_RNA from 1 species